GAUGAACGCUGGCGGCGUGCCUAAUACAUGCAAGUCGAGCGAACAGACGAGGAGCUUGCUCCUCUGACGUUAGCGGCGGACGGGUGAGUAACACGUGGAUAACCUACCUAUAAGACUGGGAUAACUUCGGGAAACCGGAGCUAAUACCGGAUAAUAUAUUGAACCGCAUGGUUCAAUAGUGAAAGACGGUUUUGCUGUCACUUAUAGAUGGAUCCGCGCCGCAUUAGCUAGUUGGUAAGGUAACGGCUUACCAAGGCAACGAUGCGUAGCCGACCUGAGAGGGGGAACGGCCACACUGGAACUGAGACACGGUACAGACUCCGACGGGAGGCAGCAGUAGGGAAUCUUCCGCAAUGGGCGAAAGCCUGACGGAGCAACGCCGCGUGAGUGAUGAAGGUCUUCGGAUCGUAAAACGCUGUUAUUAGGGAAGAACAAAUGUGUAAGUAACUAUGCACGUCUUGACGGUACCUAAUCAGAAAGCCACGGCUAACUACGUG
rnacentral:rRNA from 1 species